rnacentral:rRNA from 12 species
CUCCUACGGGAGGCAGCAGUGGGGGAUAUUGCACAAUGGGCGAAAGCCUGAUGCAGCGAUGCCGCGUGGAGGAAGAAGGUCUUCGGAUUGUAAACUCCUGUCUUUAGGGACGAUAAUGACGGUACCUAAGGAGGAAGCUCCGGCUAACUACGUGCCAGCAGCCGCGGUAAUACGUAGGGAGCGAGCGUUGUCCGGAAUUACUGGGUGUAAAGGGAGCGUAGGCGGGGCGGCAAGUCAGGUGUGAAAUUUAUGGGCUUAACCCAUAACCUGCAUUUGAAACUGUCGCUCUUGAGUGAAGAAGAGGUUGGCGGAAUUCCUAGUGUAGCGGUGAAAUGCGUAGAU